ensembl:lncRNA
GGAGACAGCGCAGUCGGCGCUGGACCGGGAGCCCCCGAGCUCGGUGUUUGCGCCAGCUCGGAGGUCCGCGGCCGAAAAGUCAGUGUGGGGAGAGGCGGCCCAGUCCUCUUCCGGCGCCCUGCACACCUGCCAGGUGGAAGCUUUCAGGCACAAAGCGCGCUCCAGACAUGGCCUUCUUAGAAUGAUUGCCGUCAAUUGCCAUGAGUACUCAGCGUACGUUUUUGUAUUUUCUGAGUAGUUCAUUUCCACUCAAAUGGCACAGAAAUCUAACUUUACCGUCGCAGAGUUUACCUUGGAAAUUCUGUGUGAUCUAAAAAACUUUCCUGAAUCUCUCUCUCCCUUUCCAUCUCUUAUGUUUUAAUGAUGCUCUUAGCAAAGCCUUCAACAUCUGAAAAGCCAAAGCCACAUUGCUUGGAUUUUCCUACAGCUACAUGGUCUCAUGAUUGACCUCAUUCCUACUUUCAGAUUCUGAACUCCCUACACCUGAGAAAUAGGUUCAGAGGCUCCAAAGAGCUUUUCACGAGUCAAUGAGUGACUCUGAAGAGACCUAAACUCCACAGUUAAAUCUUUAUUUCUAAACGAGGCAGUUCCUUUUAUCUCUCAAUUGUCUUAAUUAUUCUUCACGUAGUAAGAAAAAGAAAGAUUAUUUGUAAGUAUAAAUAUUUUAUAUAGUCAAAACAUCAUAUAUAUGAAAUAGCAUGGAUAUAAUAUACAUAUCAUCGUACAUAUGUCAUACAUAUUAUAUUUACAAUAAGUUGAUAAGCAAAACUGCUGUAAAAUGGAAGGCUCUUUGUUCUGCAAGCAUCUUAUUAACCAGGCUUUCUGCAAGUUUAAGUCUUAGAACUCAGCCAAAGUCUUCUCUGACUGAAAGGAGGAGUUCUUAGGGAAUUCGGAAAGGAAACGUAAGGAGAAAAGUGGGGACGGGGGAAGAGAGAAAAUCCCAAGGCCUCACAUCCCAUGACAACCAGAUCUUCCUGGGAUCCCGGUCUUCAGUCAGGACAAUUAAAUUCAUGCAUGCUUCUUGUGACAGGGCAGAAAUCCAGCUGGCGUGAGGCAGGGACUCAAGAGGCCAUGAGCAGCAUGAUCUCAGGGAACCAGAAGACCCUGGGAAGGCUUUGGGCUUGCCUUGAAGUGAAAUGGCCAGGACUCCAGCCAGUGUGGCCCAGCUUCUGAGGGAAUGAAGGCUAAAGAUCCAUAAGAUCACACCAAUCCAGAAUCCAACCGGUGACUCAACAGACAGAUGUGUGCUUAAUCGAUCAGUCAUGUCCUGCUCUUUGCGACCUCAGGGACUGUAGCCUCCCAGGUGCCUCUGUUCAUGGGAUUCUCCAGGCAAGAGUACUGGAGUGGGUUGCCAUGCCCUCCUCCAGGGGAUCUUCCCAACCCAGGGAUCGAACCCAGAUCUCCCACAUUGCAGGCAGAUUCUUUUUUUUUUUUUUUUUUUGCAGGCAGAUUCUUUACCGUCUGAGCCACCAGGGAAGCGGUGACUCAAUGGACCAGAUUCUUCUUCCUACAAGAUCAUCUGUGUUGGAAGAGGAAAGAAACCUGAAGACCCUGAUUAUUCUUUCCGUUUAGAUGAACAAAUGAGCAAAAAUCAGUAUGCGCAGCUGAUGUCGCUCUUGUUGUAUAAACUGGACAGAAUCAAAACUCUCCCAGUGCUACCCAGAAUGCAUUUUCUGGAUGCAGGGGCCUGUGAGGGUUGUCCUUCUCCUGGAUUCUUCACAGACACAUCAGUCAUGCUUUGCUUCUCUGGAAGGUCUGGCAGAGUGCCUCCCUGAUUGGGGUUGUUCACCUGGAGCCCUGGACAUAUGUGAGCAUCCCCUGGUGAGUAGCUCCCCUUUGGGGACCAAGAUCUCCAAAGAAGCAGAGCUCAAGGAAGCCAGGAUGGGAAGCAAAAAUUCUACAACUGGGUUGUGGGUUCAGUAGUGAAACAAGCUGCUUCCACCCCUUGAUUACAAGACCCGUAUAUUCUGGCUGAGGGGGAAGAUAGCACCAUUAUGCUUCAAAUAUACACUGUAUCCUUCACAGCAUGUACAGUACCCUUUAAGACUGCACCCCACCCUUUCAGGAUGUUGACUCCCACCUGACACACUUGAGUCUUCAUCAGCUGUCACACUGUCUCAGUAAGCUUUCAAAGUUUGUCCAGUUGUUUCUAGGUGAUGGCGUUCUUGGUAAAACCAGCUAAUUCCACGGCCAAGGGCACGUUGCUGUAGUCCCUUUGCCAUCAAAGAAGAGAUGCUAUGAAAAUCACUGAUCAGAAGCCAAUGCUACAGGAAGUACCACAAUGCUGGAAAAUGGGUUCUGUGGACAGAAUUCCUAGAAGAAGCACUGUGGGGCAGGAAAGGCAGAUGUACACCUAGAAUGUAUCUACUCCAGUGAGGACAAGUCUCUGCUCCCUCCAAGAUGGAAGAGGUUCAGUGUAGUCUCUCCAGUCAUUUCAGUCGCUCGGUUGUGACUGACUCUUUGCGACCUCAUGGACUGCAGCACCCCAGGCUUCCCUGUUCAUCACCAGCUCCCAGAGCUUGCUCAAACUCAUGUCCAUUGAGUCAGAGAUGCCAUCCAAACAGCUCAUCCUCUGUCAUCCCCCUUUCCCUCUGCCUUCAAUCCUUCCCAGCAUUCAGGGUCUUUUCAAAUGAUUCAGUUCUUUACAUCAGGUGGCCAAAGUUUGGAGCUUCAGCAUCGUUUCUUCCAAUGAAUAUUCAGGACUGAUUUCCUUUAGAAUUAACUGGUUUGAUCUCUUUGUAAUCCAAGGGACUCUCAAGAGUCUUCUGCAACACCACACAGUUCAAAAGCAUCAAUUCUUUGGUGCUUAGCCUUCUUUAUGGUCCAACUCUCACAUCCAUACAUGACUACUGGAAAAACCAUAGCUUUGACUAGAUGAACCUUUGUCAGCCAAGUAAUGUGUAUGCUGUCUAGGUUGGUCAUCGGAGAUGGUGAUGACACCCCACUCCAAUACUCUUGCCUGGAAAAUCCCAUGGACAGAGGAGCCUGGUAGGCUGUAGUCCAUGGGGUCACGAAGAGUCAGACACGACUGAGCGACUUCCCUUUCACUUUUCACUUUCAUGCAUUGGAGAAGGAAAUGGCAACCCACUCCAGUGUUCUUGCCUGGAGAAUCCCAGGGAUGGGGGAGCCUGGUGGGCUGCCGUCUAUGGAGUCACACAGAGUCGGACACGACUGAAGUGACGCAGCAGCAGCAGGUUGGUCAUAGCUUUUCUUCCAAGGAACAAGCAUCUUUAAUUUCAUGGCUGCAGUCACCAUCUGCAGUGAUUUUGGAGCCCCCCCAAAAUAAAAUCUCUCACUGUUUCUAUUGUUUCCCCCAUCUAUUUGCCAUGAAGUGAUGGGACCAGAUGCCAUGAUCUUGUUUUUUGAAUGUUGAGUUUUAAGCCAGCUUUUUCACUCUCCUCUUUCACUUUCAUCAAGAGGCUAUUUAGUUCCUCUUCACCUUCU